GACGAACGCUGGCGGCGUGCUUAACACAUGCAAGUCGAACGGAAAGGCCCUGCUUUUGUGGGGUGCUCGAGUGGCGAACGGGUGAGUAACACGUGAGUAACCUGCCCUUGACUUUGGGAUAACUUCAGGAAACUGGGGCUAAUACCGGAUAGGAGCUCCUGCUGCAUGGUGGGGGUUGGAAAGUUUCGGUGGUUGGGGAUGGACUCGCGGCUUAUCAGCUUGUUGGUGGGGUAGUGGCUUACCAAGGCUUUGACGGGUAGCCGGCCUGAGAGGGUGACCGGCCACAUUGGGACUGAGAUACGGCCCAGACUCCUACGGGAGGCAGCAGUGGGGAAUAUUGCACAAUGGGCGGAAGCCUGAUGCAGCAACGCCGCGUGCGGGAUGACGGCCUUCGGGUUGUAAACCGCUUUCGCCUGUGACGAAGCGUGAGUGACGGUAAUGGGGAAAGAAGCACCGGCGAACUACGU
rnacentral:rRNA from 1 species